rnacentral:rRNA from 1 species
UACGUAGGGCGCGAGCGUUGUCCGGAUUUAUUGGGCGUAAAGAGCUCGUAGGCGGCUCGUUGCGUCGGCUGUGAAAACCCGCAGCUCAACUGUGGGCUUGCAGCCGAUACGGGCGGGCUGGGAUUCGGUAGGGGAGACUGGAAUUCCUGGUGUAGCGGUGAAAUGCGCAGAUAUCAGGAGGAACACCGGUGGCGAAGGCGGGUCUCUGGGCCGAUAUCGACGCUGAGGAGCGAAAGCGUGGGGAGCGAACAGG